AGAGAGAGAGAGAGAGAGAGAGAGAGUAAAAAACAUUUAGUCCCAACGAAGUAGAAGAUCAAGUUGGUGAGCCGUGUGAUGGGAAACCUUCCCGCACGGUUCCCCUAUUAUCCAAUUGAAAGCAUGGAAUACAUGUUAACAUACCAUGACAUUCACAACACUCACAACAACAAAAGCAUGGAAUACAUGUUAACAUACCAUGACUUUCACCACCCCAAUUCAACAUACCUUAUUGAAAAAACCACCCAAAACGUGAUGAAUGAAGUAAGAGACGACAUCAAUAUCUUAGCUAAUCAAAGUUACUCUAAGUAUCAAAGACUAUAACCAAAACGCAACAUCAAGACUAGACGUUGAUAUGAUCAUCACCGAUCUAGAGGGUACUAAUAUGCCUCCAACUACGGAAGAGGAAAACGAUAUAUGCAUUGUAUGCUACGGAAAUUACAACGAUGGAAACAAUAUUUGCUCUCUUACUUGCGGACAUAAUUUCCAUUUUCCUUGCAUUGAUCAGUGGCUUCGUACAAAAAUAAGUUGUCCGGUAUGUAGAGAAUGUAAUCUAAUAAAAAGGAUUAUUGGGUGCUAAUCUCCAAUAUCAUGUCACUUUUCUCCUCAUUUCGAUAUUUUUCUUUUUAAUAUUUUUCUUUUUCUUUUUCUUUCACACCAUUUAGAUAUUUUCCUUUCUCACCAUUACAAAUUUCUAUAUUUAUUAAACCACACCGUUUCCAAAUCAGAAACUCAAAUUUACAUACCGCAAAUAUAAAAUCACCAAUGCAAUAAAAUAUAUCCAUAAUCGUGUAUUGAAAAGUACCAAAUCGCAAGUUAAACUCCCGAAAAAUGACAUUGUUUCCUUAUGAAAACGGACCGAAGCUACAGAAUUCUAGAUUUAUGUUGAUCUUCACUUUGUACCUCUAUGCUUUGUUUGAUGCUCCUUUUUAUUUAAAAAAAAACCCCCCUCCCUUUUAAUAUAUUAUACUUAUUAACCCUACUCUUGCUGUUCUCAUGCAAUCUCCUCUAAUCCCACGUCCUUAUACAACAAUAACUUUCAACCCAAGCUCCAACAAAUUCAACCUUAAUGAUAGGUAAAAGGUUGACACCAAAAUUCUAUUUAAAUUUUUUAUCAUAUACAUAUAAACUCUACUAUUCAUGUUCCCAUCCAUUCUCCUCUAAUCACUCAUCCUUUUACAAGAAUAGCUUGCAGCCCAAGCUCCGGCAAAUCCACAACACUCACUUCCACACAAACGCCUAUGAGUGGUAUUGUUAAAGUUAUAUUUAAAUAAAAUCAAAUUAGAUCACGAAAGAACACAGCUUGAAUAUGUGUUGGUUGAGAAAUAUAUCUCUAAGAAGUAUGUGUCGAUUAGAGGUGUCUUUGAUUCAGUAUAUAAAGCCUUCACUUGAUAUAUGUAAAGAUACAAACUCAUUUUAUUAUCCAAAUUAUAUUUAAUUUGGUGCAAUUGUCACCUAUAUAUUAUAUUAUCCAAAUUAUAUUUAAUUCUUACUUCAUUCAAAUAUGGGAAACAAUUUACGAUAUUCAUCUUUUGCCUGGACAAUUACAAAACAGACAAAUAUAUUACUAUCACUAACCAAUACCAAAUGGAUCAACAAAUCCUUAACAGCUUAUUAGACAACAAAACAUACGAGGAAUACCCCUAGUCUUUAAUAAUAAAGUUAAACUAGCUGCCUUUUUAGGCAUCCACCUCAUCAAUCACGUAGGGGUUUUUUUUGGACACGUGGCAUGGUCUUUUGAAACUAUUCUCUCGCUGUAUUGCAAUGGGCUUCUGGUUUGUAAUUGUGUUAUUCAGUGGGCGUUUGAUUUUUUACUCAGGCUGGCCCACAUUUUUUUUAGGGUUUCUUUCAAGUCGCCUUUGGGGAUCAGAGUCACUGUACCCCUUCGGAUCUCACCAAAUCCGAUUAACGUCUAUGUAACGGCUUCGAUUUUCCAAUAUACAAGCAUUGACGUCGUUUCCAUCUCUCCUCCCACUCUUUCACAUCUAAUCAUCGAAGGUGACCGAUUGAAGUUCCGCCUAUAAAUAUGUUUUUGACUGCGAUGACCAGCUUCACCGCUCCAAAAUCUGAAAGAACAAUCUCUGUCAAGCAUCAAUCCCAACUAUGAUUCCACGACUGAGAGUGAUAAAUAACUUACAACCCUUGUGUGCUCAUGACUUUGUGUAUUCCAAUUGGUAACCAGACUUCUAUUACAAACGAUGACGUCAACAUCCACAUCGAUAUUGUCAAUCCACAUCUGCUGUCUCAGAGCAUUGAGAAUCCGAUCUAAGCUGCUGUACAGUUAGUUUAGUACCAAUUAUGGAAGUGAACUUGGGAAGAUUAUGCUUGACACGACGUUUGAGGAACGAGAUUUACUGAAUGAAAAGACUGUGCCAGGGGAUAUCAUAGCUCCUAAUGGAGUGAGGGUGGUGCUAUGAAAAUGCAAGUGGAAGCUAAACAUAAAAAGAGAGUCCAGGCCAGAUUCUUGAGUCUAAAGGUAAUUAUGCAUUGCUUAUCUUUGCAUGUCUGCUGAUUUUUGCUUUCCAUUCCCUUAAAGAAUAGGUAAAGCGAAUGUUAUAUGUUGGCUUUAGUGGCUGAAACUCCAAUAUGCCUUUUAUGGUUAUUUUCCUAUCAGCUGAAAUAUAUUUCAGUUUAUCUUCAUUCUUUCAUGCUCUUCAGAUUGUUCAGGAUUUAUAAUGAUUUUGAUUGUGUGUUUGUCUACUUAGGCUGUUGCUUUUAAAAUGGUUUUCGUAUAUAUUGAUUUUGGGUUUGAUAUCUUUAUUAUCGUACCGUGCCGAACAAGGAGAGGAGUGUUAAUUGCAGUGAAAAGCCAGAAGAGAGGGAUACCCAAUUAAGAAUUUAAAAGUCUGUAGAAAAGAAGAUGACAAUGAUGGGAAAUUUCAUCAUGAGAGCUUUGUGGAGCAAACUUCUAAUAGCUCAAAUGGAGGUGCAUCAUGAGUAGCAGUAAAGUUUGGACAACUUCUGACGUGGGAACUUAAACGGGAAAUUCAUAUGAUGAUGAUAACGGUGUGGGGAUGAUUGGGAAGCUCUUGCUGAUGUAGUAACAGCUGAAGAAGAGAAUAAAAAUAUGAUCUCCUCCAUGAGUACGUCAAGGAGCAAUAGAGUUUGGACAACUUCUGAUGUGGGUGAUUCCAAUCUUGACGCAACAUAUAUUGUGGGUGUUAGAGAUAGAAAGCAUGAUUGUUAGAAUACCAUCAAAGAAGGAAAAAGCAGUUGACGAAAUUCUCCAGCAAUCGAUGCCAUUAUUAAGUGCCUCGACAACCAUUAUUUACUUCUUCAGUUAUAAGUGUUUACCGCUUUGCGUUACAUUUUGAUUUAUAUAUCUUUUUGCAUGCAAGUGACCUGUUAAAAAAUAUGAUCUAUAGAUAAUGCACACACUACCUGAUUCAAAGCUCUCUCGCUAUGUUUUCUACUAGCAGCAUACCUAUAUAUAUGAUUUAUGAUUAAUGUCA